GACGAACGCUGGCGGCGUGCUUAACACAUGCAAGUCGAACGGAAAGGCCCUGCUUUUGUGGGGUGCUCGAGUGGCGAACGGGUGAGUAACACGUGAGUAACCUGCCCUUGACUUUGGGAUAACUUCAGGAAACUGGGGCUAAUACCGGAUAGGAGCUCCUGCUGCAUGGUGGGGGUUGGAAAGUUUCGGCGGUUGGGGAUGGACUCGCGGCUUAUCAGCUUGUUGGUGGGGUAGUGGCUUACCAAGGCUUUGACGGGUAGCCGGCCUGAGAGGGUGACCGGCCACAUGGGGACUGAGAUACGGCCCAGACUCCUACGGGAGGCAGCAGUGGGGAAUAUUGCACAAUGGGCGGAAGCCUGAUGCAGCAACGCCGCGUGCGGGAUGACGGCCUGCGGGGUGUAAACCGCUGUCGCCUGUGACGAAGCGUGAGUGACGGUAAUGGGUAAAGAAGCACCGGCUAACUACGUG
rnacentral:rRNA from 1 species